UACGAAGGGGGCUAGCGUUGUUCGGAAUCACUGGGCGUAAAGCGCACGUAGGCGGAUUGUUAAGUCGGGGGUGAAAUCCUGAGGCUCAACCUCAGAACUGCCUUCGAUACUGGCAAUCUCGAGUCCGGAAGAGGUUGGUGGAACAGCUAGUGUAGAGGUGAAAUUCGUAGAUAUUAGCUAGAACACCAGUGGCGAAGGCGGCCAACUGGUCCGGUACUGACGCUGAGACGCGAAAGCGUGGGUAGCAAACAGG
rnacentral:rRNA from 1 species